GACGAACGCUGGCGGCGUGCUUAACACAUGCAAGUCGAACGGAAAGGCCCUGCUUUUGUGGGGUGCUCGAGUGGCGAACGGGUGAGUAACACGUGAGUAACCUGCCCUUGACUUUGGGAUAACUUCAGGAAACUGGGGCUAAUACCGGAUAGGAGCUCCUGCUGCAUGGUGGAGGUUGGAAAGUUUCGGCGGUUGGGGAUGGACUCGCGGCUUAUCAGCUUGUUGGUGGGGUAGUGGCUUACCAAGGCUUUGACGGGUAGCCGGCCUGAGAGGGUGACCGGCCACAUUGGGACUGAGAUACGGCCCAGACUCCUACGGGAGGCAGCAGUGGGGAAUAUUGCACAAUGGGCAGAAGCCUGAUGCAGCAACGCCGCGUGCGGGAUGACGGCCUUCGGGUUGUAAACCGCUUUCGCCUGUGACGAAGCGUGAGUGACGGUAAUGGGUAAAGAAGCACCGGCUAACUACGUG
rnacentral:rRNA from 1 species